GUAGCGGCGAGCGAACGCGGAUUAGCCCAAACCAAUAAAGUUUUCUUUAUUGGGGUUGCGGACAUAUCAUAACGAAGAGGUAUCGUAAUUGAAGAGGUUUGGAAAGACCCACCACAGAAGGUAAUAGGCCUGUAUGUUAAACGAGAAGACUUUAGAUAUGAUCCAGAGUACCACGGGACACGUGAAACCCUGUGGGAAGCAGGAGGGACCACCCUCCAAGGCUAAAUACUACCUAGGGACCGAUAGCGUAUAGUACCGUGAGGGAAAGGUGAAAAGAACCCCGGGAGGGGAGUGAAAUAGAACCUGAAACCCUGCACUUACAAGCUGUGGAAGCACAUU
rnacentral:rRNA from 1 species